rnacentral:rRNA from 1 species
GACAGAGGGUGCGAGCGUUGUUCGGAAUUAUUGGGCGUAAAGCGCACGUAGGCGGUUUCGUAAGUCGGAUGUGAAAGCCCAGGGCUUAACCCUGGAAGGGCAUUCGAAACUGCGAGACUAGAGUCUCGGAGAGGGUGGUGGAAUUCCUGGUGUAGAGGUGAAAUUCGUAGAUAUCAGGAGGAACACCUGUGGCGAAGGCGGCCACCUGGACGAAGACUGACGCUGAGGUGCGAAAGCGUGGGGAGCAAACAGG